UGAGUCAGAAACCAAGAGUGAUGUUUAGCAGUGAGCCCUCCAGCCGACUAUCAUGCUCACCCAAACUGAGAGGCACACACCUACUCUACGCUCAUUCUUCACGUUUCCUAGAGCAUACUCCACUCGUCUCUACUAGUGGAUUGUUUCUGAACAUUGUCUGCACUGGGCUGCAGAUGCUCAUUACUUAAGUUCAAGGUUCUUACUGAUGUCACUGGAAAAUUUGUCUCUGCUCUGAGAAAUCACAGGGAUUAGUCUUUGUGACUGGUGAGGUGACCACACUAACACCUGGUGUUGAUAAGAUGGCAUAAAAACAGCCAGCUCUGGGAAGUCGUGCUAGAGAGAUGGCUCAGAAGUGAACAGCCCAUGCUGCUCUUCCGGAAGACCUGAGCUGGGUUACCAGCACCUAUGUUCUCCAGAUCACAGUCUUCACUAACUCCAGCUCCACGGGAUCUAACCCCCUCUUCCGGCCUCCAUGGUACUUUUACUCAUGUGCAUGACAUCCUCCCACACAUACUUAAUGAAAAAUAAGAAUUAAAUCUUUAAUAAUAAUAAAAAAAAGAGUCCCGGAAGA